CAAAGCUUCUAAGCUCUCGGCCCUGGAGCAGUUGAUGUAGGUGUGUGAUGCCGUAUCGGUGCCACAGUGUAUAAUUGAAAUUGGGAAUUACAUAGUGUAGUGUUUUUAGUGGUGUUGUGGGUAACGUUUUACCAUUCCAACCUAGUUUGCUACAGUAGUUGUUCCAGACAUGUAGCACCUUGGUGGGGAGCAUCGAGCUGUUCGCAGGCCUGAUGGGAAUAUUAUUG